rnacentral:rRNA from 1 species
GACAGAGGGUGCAAACGUUGUUCGGAAUUACUGGGCGUAAAGCGUGUGUAGGCGGUCUCGUAAGUCGGAUGUGAAAGCCCUGGGCUCAACCCAGGAAGUGCACUCGAAACUGCGAGGCUAGAGUAUCGGAGAGGUUGGUGGAAUUCUCGGUGUAGCAGUGAAAUGCGUAGAUAUCAAGAGGAACACCAGUGGCGAAGGCGAGUCCCUGGACAACACCUGACACUGAGGCACGAAAGCUAGGGGAGCAAACAGG